rnacentral:tRNA from 1 species
GGUGGCUCAGCGGCAGAGCGCUUGCCUCGCAUGCAUGAGGCUCUGGGUUCAAUUCCUCAGCACCA